rnacentral:rRNA from 1 species
AGUGAACGCUGGCGGUAGGCCUAACGCAUGCAAGUCGAACGGCAGCACAGUAAGAGCUUGCUCUUACGGGUGGCGAGUGGCGGACGGGUGAGGAAUACAUCGGAAUCUACUUUUUCGUGGGGGAUAACGUAGGGAAACUUACGCUAAUACCGCAUACGACCUACGGGUGAAAGCAGGGGAUCUUCGGACCUUGCGCGAUUGAAUGAGCCGAUGUCGGAUUAGCUAGUUGGCGGGGUAAAGGCCCACCAAGGCGACGAUCCGUAGCUGGUCUGAGAGGAUGAUAAGCCAAACUGGAACUGAGACACGGUCCAGACUCCUACGGGAGGCAGCAGUGGGGAAGAUUGGACAAUGGGCGCAAGCCUGAUCCAGCCAUACCGCGUGGGUGAAGAAGGCCUUCGGGUUGUAAAGCACUUUUGUUGGGAAAGAAAAGCAGCAGGUUAAUACCCCGCUGUUCUGACGGUACCCAAAGAAUAAGCACCGGCUAACUUCGUG